CCCCCCCCGGCUCGGCGAAGGUUCCGGAGCUCUCGCGCGCCCCCUCCCCUCCCGACCCGCCCCCCGCCGCUGUCACUUCGCUGAGCGGCUCCGGUGCGGACAGCAGGGCAGCAGGUAACUUGGCUGCAAGAUGGCAGAACCACACCAGGAUGUCACCAACGUGGAGGACCAGGAGAGGCAGCACGUCCCUUCAGGCUAUCCCCUUCAGAUUCCAGUCGAUGAUGGAUCGGAUGAGCCUGUUUCUGAAACAUCUGAUGCUAAGAGCACCCCAACUACAGAAGAUGCCACAGCACCUUUAGUAGAGGAAGGAGACCAAGAGGAUCAGCACGGGGAGAUCCCAGAAGGAACCACAGCUGAAGAGGCGGGCGUAGGAGCCACCCCCAGCCUGGAGGACCACGCUGCAGGAGAUGCUCAAGCUCCAGGGGAGCCCAGCUCUCCAAAGUUGCAGCCUGGCCAUAAGGAGCAUAUGGGAGAUGUGGUUCAAAGGGGCAGCCAGCCCAUGGAGCAGGUAGCUGGUGUUCCUCGGGAGCCACAAGAAACAAAGGCUGCAGCCACAGCUCCCACCAGGAUUGAGGUCACUAUCCCAAUCCCCCUGGAUAUGUACCAAGAUGUCAGAGCAGCUGAAGCCAGCCGUGAGCUGUGGGAUCGUGGGGGCAGAGAAGGCAUCGGCGUGGAUCCAGAGCUGGGUGAUGUGUGCAGCACGGGGCUGGCAGGAGCAGGUGGAACUGAUGCCUCCCAUACUGCAGAUGGGCCAACUCCUACUGGAACCCCACUAAAAGAGGACACCGGAGAUGUGGACCGUGAUAUGGAUGAAGCUUCUCAGCAGGAUUUGCUUGGCCUGGUGGGACAGCACGUUUCUCCAGGCCCCAAAACAACCAAAGAAGCUCUUAAAGAGGAAGGAGAAAGCAAGUCCAGGGAUGUCCUCAGAGACACAGAGAGGGAGGUAUUCCUUGUUGAAUCUGAAGCACGUAAAGCAGAAGACCAAGAAAAGAGACAGCAUCUGCAGGGGGAAGAACCAUACACAGAUGUCACCUCAUCAGAACCUUCUGAGACCCAAACAGAAGGGGCAGGAGGGGAUGCUGGACCAUUAGUGGAAGCAACUGAACCCCCUGAUGGGUUAAAGGAUGGGAGAGAAGACAGAGAUGCUGCAGUGGAAGAGGUGCUGGGUGCAGGAGGGUGCCGGACGCCCAAGAAGAAACCAGGUGCUGCAGAUAAAGCAGUCAGUCGUGUUCCUCUCCUGAAAGCUCGUAUUGAUAGCAAGGAAGGGGCUGAAGCUGAUGACAAGAAACCGAAGAAAUCCUCACCUUCCAUUGCCAACCCCCCAGGCGAUAGAGCCUCCAUCCCUCCCCACCGACACACCUCCUCUAGCACAACCCCUCCGAAACCUCCCUCCAGCCCUGCAUCCACCUCUAAACGAGUCACACCCCGACCUGCCAGUACAGGAACACAUGAAACAAAGGCCAAGGGCCAGGAGAUGAGGGGAGGCACAAAGCCGGCCACGCCGCGCUCUGCAGCAGGGCAGGCCCAGAGGAACUCCAGCAACGCCACCCGCAUCCCAGCAAAAACCCCCACGGCCCCCAAGACCCCUCCUGGCUCUGGCAGAAAGGAGCAGAAAAAACCACCCCCUGCAGCAGCGAAGCCUGAGAAAGGUGAGCAGCCCAAGUCUGGAGACAGAAGCGGUUACAGCAGUCCCGGCUCACCCGGGACUCCAGGCAGCCGUUCCCGCACUCCUUCUCUGCCCACCCCACCAGCCAGGGAGCCCAAGAAGGUGGCAGUGGUUCGUACUCCUCCUAAAUCACCUGCGUCUGCCAAGAGCCGCGUUCAGCCCACAGCAGCUCCAAUGCCUGACCUGAAAAACGUCAAAUCCAAAAUCGGCUCCACUGAAAACCUGAAGCAUCAGCCUGGAGGUGGCAAGGUGCAGAUUAUUAAUAAGAAGCUGGACUUUAGCAGCGUUCAAUCCAAGUGUGGCUCAAAGGAUAAUAUCAAACACAUCCCGGGAGGAGGCAGUGUGCAGAUUGUUAAUCAGAAGUUGGACUUUAGCAGCGUUCAAUCCAGGUGUGGCUCAAAGGAUAAUAUCAAACACAUCCCAGGAGGAGGCAGUGUUCAAAUCGUUUACAAGCCGGUGGAUCUGAGCCACGUGACGUCCAAAUGUGGAUCUUUGGGCAACAUCCAUCACAAACCAGGUGGUGGCCAAGUGGAGGUGAAAUCUGAGAAACUGGACUUCAAAGAUAAGGUGCAAUCUAAAAUCGGCUCCUUAGAUAACAUCAGCCACGUUCCUGGAGGGGGAAAUAAAAAGAUCGAGACUCACAAGCUGACUUUCCGUGAGAACGCCAAAGCUAAAACCGACCACGGAGCCGAAAUCGUCUACAAAUCCCCCACCAUCUCCGGGGACGCGUCUCCGCGCCGCCUUAGCAAUGUCUCCUCCACUGGCAGCAUCAACAUGGUGGACUCCCCCCAGCUCGCCACGUUAGCUGACGAAGUGUCCGCCUCGCUGGCCAAGCAGGGCUUGUGAUGGGGCUUGUGAUGGGGCUCAGCACCACGGCGGGAGAGAAGGAGAAGAUGAUGUUGGGGGGGGGAGGGAGGGGGGGGGAGUAAAAAAACAAGCAACCACGAAAAGAAAAAGAAACCGACGCACCAAUAAUGAUAAUCUGGCCUUCUUCCUCUGUUCCUUUUACAGCUGCUUCCCCAUCCCCUACUCGGUUAAUGAUUUAACCUGCUUUUACUGUUCAUUCAGCUCUAGCUCCAGGACUUCAUAAUCAGUGACACUUUGAGGUCAGCUCAGAGCUCACAGAAGUGGCAGCUCCGAGGUUCUGCUGCGCUCGUGUGGAGGAGGAGGAGGAGGAGGAGGAGAGGAAGGUGUGAUGGUGGUGAUGGUGGUGGUGGCCAUCCUGGGCUGCAGCACCCCAUGGCACCCCAUAGCAUCCCAUAGCACCCUACAGCACCCCACAGCACUGUGUGCUCCCCCAGAGCCCCUUCCUCCUUUCACUGCUGUUCCCGUGGCACUGGGGGGCUUUGGGGGCUUUGGGCCCCUUUGCCCGUUCCUUCACCAACCAAAGAGGCCGAGCUGUGCCCUUCACACCCCAAACCCCCCCAGGAGCUGCUGCUGGGGAUGGGGGGGAAGGCGCCCAUAGGGCUGCACUGAGGGGCUGUGUGCUUCCAAGUGCUGGGGGGGGGGGGGCGUUGGGGGGCUGAGCAGGUGAUGGACAGAGCCCUCCCCCCUUUGCGUGUGCUGCUGGGGCCACAGCGAGUUGGGGGGGGUGGGCUGCAAUAGGGGGUGGGGGGCUGCAAUAUAUAGGGUGCAUCAUGGAGGGGUGACAGCGAUGCUGGAGCAGCAGCAGCAUCUCACACAGCCCCCCCCCCCCAACACCCCCCUUUUCCUUCCCAUCUCGUGCCAACGAGGCUCCAAACCCACACUGGGACCCCACACCUCCCCCCACCCAGGCUGGGUAUAACGGGGAGGGGGGGUAUUUGGGGAGGGGGGGGUGGGGGGUAGUUCUGCUCUCAGUGUAACCAUUGUAGCUUAGCUGCCUGUCUGUGUGUCCAUGAUGGUGUUUCUCGUGCGCUGACCGCUGGGUUUCACUGUUACCGUAAAAAAAAAAAGUGAAUUUGGAAAUAAAACAACAACAAAAAGAUUCA